UUUGUUUCGACUGCAUGCAGACGACCCGUGACAUGUAACCACAACGGGGUGACCGUGAUAAGGGCCUCGGUCCUUAUCCCCUAACCCUUCCCGACGUGAGUUCGUGGUGUCUUUUUUGGGGCAUCAUGGAUUCCGUUGGACCAUAACAAAACCCCGGCACGGUAUGUGCCAAGGAAAACAAAAAUGAGAAGGACACUACCUGUUUCGCCCCGUUUGCGGUGUGCGUACAGGUCGUGGCCUCCUUGGAAUCACAAACGACUCUCGGCAACGGAUAUCUCGGCUCACGCAUCGAUGAAGAACGUAGCAAAAUGCGAUACUUGGUGUGAAUUGCAGAAUCCCGUGAACCAUCGAGUUUUUGAACGCAAGUUGCGCCCGAAGCCAUCCGGCUGAGGGCACGCCUGCCUGGGCGUCACGCAUCGCGUCGCUCCCCACCAUACCUCCCCAACGGGUUGGCAUGGUGUUGGGGGCGGAUAAUGGCCUCCCGUGCUUGUGUUUCGGUUGGCCUAAAUAAGAGUUCCCUUCGGCGGACACACGACUAGUGGUGGUUGAAUAGACCCUCGUCUUUUGUUGCGUGUCGUGAGCUGUAAGGGUAGCCCUCAUCAAAGACCCCAUUGUAUCGUCUUCGGAUGAUGCUUCGACCGCGACCCCAGGUCAGGCGGGACUACCCGCUGAGUUUAAGCAUAUCAAAA
rnacentral:rRNA from 1 species